GACGAACGCUGGCGGCGUGCUUAACACAUGCAAGUCGAGCGGAAAGGCCCUGCUUUUGUGGGGUGCUCGAGUGGCGAACGGGUGAGUAACACGUGAGUAACCUGCCCUUGACUUUGGGAUAACUUCAGGAAACUGGGGCUAAUACCGGAUAGGCGCUCCUGCUGCAUGGUGGGGGUUGGAAAGUUUCGGCGGUUGGGGAUGGACUCGCGGCUUAUCAGCUUGUUGGUGGGGUAGUGGCUUACCAAGGCUUUGACGGGUAGCCGGCCUGAGAGGGUGACCGGCCACAUGGGGACUGAGAUACGGCACAGACUCCUGCGGGAGGCAGCAGUGGGGAAUAUUGCACAAUGGGAGGAAGCCUGAUGCAGCAACGCCGCGUGCGGGAUGACGGCCUUCGGUUUGUAAACCUCUUGCGCCUGUGACGAAGCGUGAGUGACGGUAAUGGGUAAAGAAGCACCGGCUAACUACGUG
rnacentral:rRNA from 1 species